AGGAAAAGAAACCAACAGGGAUUGCCCUAGUAACGGCGAGUGAAGCGGCAACAGCUCAAAUUUGAAAUCUGGCGCAAGCCCGAGUUGUAAUUUGUAGAGGAUGCUUCUAGGUAGCGACCGGUCUAAGUUCCUUGGAACAGGACGUCAUAGAGGGUGAGAAUCCCGUAUGUGACCGGCCCGCACCUUCUACGUAGCUCCUUCGACGAGUCGAGUUGUUUGGGAAUGCAGCUCUAAAUGGGAGGUAAAUUUCUUCUAAAGCUAAAUACCGGCCAGAGACCGAUAGCGCACAAGUAGAGUGAUCGAAAGAUGAAAAGCACUUUGAAAAGAGAGUUAAAAAGCACGUGAAAUUGUUGAAAGGGAAGCGCUUACAACCAGACUUCUGGGCGGUGUUCCGCCGGUCUUUUGACCGGUCUACUCGCCGUCCCGAGGCCAACAUCAUCUGGGACCGCUGGAUAAGACCUUAGGAAUGUAGCUUCCCUCGGGAAGUGUUAUAGCCUCUGGUGAUGCAGCGCGUCUCGGGUGAGGUCCGCGCUUCGGCAAGGAUGUUGGCGUAAUGGUUGUCAGCGGCCCGUCUUGAAACACGGACCAAGGAGUCUAACAUCUAUGCGAGUGUUCGGGUGUCAAACCCCUACGCGUAAUGAAAGUGAACGGAGGUGGGAAGGGUGACCUGCACCAUCGACCGAUCCUGAUGUCCUCGGAUGGAUUUGAGUAAGAGCAUAGCUGUUGGGACCCGAAAGAUGGUGAACUAUGCCUGAAUAGGGUGAAGCCAGAGGAAACUCUGGUGGAGGCUCGCAGCGGUUCUGACGUGCAAAUCGAUCGUCAAAUUUGGGU
rnacentral:rRNA from 1 species